GUGGGGAAUAUUGGACAAUGGGCGAAAGCCUGAUCCAGCCAUGCCGCGUGUGUGAAGAAGGUCUUCGGAUUGUAAAGCACUUUAAGCGAGGAGGAGGCUACCGAGAUUAAUACUCUUGGAUAGUGGACGUUACUCGCAGAAUAAGCACCGGCUAACUCUGUGCCAGCAGCCGCGGUAAUACAGAGGGUGCAAGCGUUAAUCGGAUUUACUGGGCGUAAAGCGCGCGUAGGUGGCCAAUUAAGUCAAAUGUGAAAUCCCCGAGCUUAACUUGGGAAUUGCAUUCGAUACUGGUUGGCUAGAGUAUGGGAGAGGAUGGUAGAAUUCCAGGUGUAGCGGUGAAAUGCGUAGAGAUCUGGAGGAAUACCGAUGGCGAAGGCAGCCAUCUGGCCUAAUACUGACACUGAGGUGCGAAAGCGUGGGGAGCAAACAGGAUUAGAUACCCCAGUAGUCC
rnacentral:rRNA from 1 species